GCUCUAGAGUUUGAUCCUGGCUCAGGACGAACGCUGGCGGCGUGCUUAACACAUGCAAGUCGAACGAUGAUGCCCAGCUUGCUGGGUGGAUUAGUGGCGAACGGGUGAGUAACACGUGAGUAACCUGCCCUUGACUUCGGGAUAACUCCGGGAAACCGGGGCUAAUACCGGAUAUGAGCCGUCCCUGCAUGGGGGUGGUUGGAAAGUUUUUCGGUCAAGGAUGGGCUCGCGGCCUAUCAGCUUGUUGGUGGGGUGAUGGCCUACCAAGGCGACGACGGGUAGCCGGCCUGAGAGGGCGACCGGCCACACUGGGACUGAGACACGGCCCAGACUCCUACGGGAGGCAGCAGUGGGGAAUAUUGCACAAUGGGCGAAAGCCUGAUGCAGCGACGCCGCGUGAGGGAUGAAGGCCUUCGGGUUGUAAACCUCUUUCAGCAGGGAAGAAGCGCAAGUGACGGUACCUGCAGAAGAAGCGCCGGCUAACUACGUGCCAGCAGCCGCGGUAAUACGUAGGGCGCAAGCGUUGUCCGGAAUUAUUGGGCGUAAAGAGCUCGUAGGCGGUCUGUCGCGCAGUGGUGUGAAAACUCGAGGCUCAACCUCGAGCUUGCAUCGGGUACGGGCAGACUAGAGUGCGGUAGGGGAGACUGGAAUUCCUGGUGUAGCGGUGGAAUGCGCAGAUAUCAGGAGGAACACCGAUGGCGAAGGCAGGUCUCUGGGCCGCAACUGACGCUGAGGAGCGAAAGCAUGGGGAGCGAACAGGAUUAGAUACCCUGGUAGUCCAUGCCGUAAACGUUGGGCACUAGGUGUGGGGCUCAUUCCACGAGUUCCGUGCCGCAGCAAACGCAUUAAGU
rnacentral:rRNA from 1 species